CCUGGCUUAGAGCAAAUGCCCGCCAACGACUGGCUCCUGGUGUUUUUAUGAGGACUAUAAAAUGAGAAAACGUAAAAUGGCUCGCUAAUGAUCUUUUCGCCUAACUCACUAUUCCUAAGGGACUGGCCAGGACAAAGGAAAGCCAAUGGGCUUAUCACAGAAGGAGAGAAGCUGCUAGCAGCUCAAAAUGCCUGAAUUUGGAUUACUUUCCCAAACAAGGGCACGGAGGCAGAAUGUGUACAUAGUCAGUUGCCUCUGAAAGUUGUAACACUCACUUCCGGCAUAAACUUCCAGUUAGGAAGUUUUCCUGCUUUAUGGUUCAUCCCUUCCCCAGUUCUUAAAGCUGGAAGUUUUUGUUGUUGUUGUUGUUUUCUGAGUGCCUCUUUCUCGUUCACUCUUAGACUCCACACUUCUCUCUGAGUCAUUGCCUUGUCCAUCCAGGUGCCCACAGCACACACCAACCCACUGCAAACAAGACCUUUUCUCCUGGGAGAAAGCCUCAACGUUUUCAAGCUUGAGUUUUCAGAGAAAGCAGAGACCCUGUCCACGGUGUGGCUGGGCCUCAUCCGAUCAGUGGACGACUUCAAGAGAAAAAGGCUGAGGUCCUCUAAGGAAGAAGAAAUCUGCUUCCCAACAGCCUUCAGGCUCAAGCUGCAACACCAGCUCUUCCCUGGGCCUCCAGCCUGCCCUGCCUGCCCUGCAGCUUUUCCACAUGCCAGCACAGUUGUGUGAGCCGGUUCCUUAAAAGCUGUCUCUCUAGAUACAUAUAGUCACAUACAGUGAGCCCUCCAUAUCCAUGGACUCCACAUCCCUGGAUUCAACCAGCCUUGUUGGAUUAAAAUAUUUAGAAAUAAAAUGUCUGCACUGAAC
rnacentral:lncRNA from 10 species